rnacentral:lncRNA from 1 species
GAAAGAAUCCUUGAUCUGAACCCAAAUAAAGAUAAAAGAUAAGCGGUAGAACUGAAUUGGGGAUGCAGGGCGUGGAGAUAAAUGAUUACUUGGUGUUGCAUCACUGAUUGUUGAUAUAGGUGCUGCUAAUGUAGAACCGUGGAUGAAGCAGAGGAAGACCAAAGAAGAAAGUUGUGAGAUGUAGGAUUCUACAAUCUACAUCCAUCGCUUUUUGACAGAUACAUACUACAUCAUGAUUACUUGAAGUUGCAUUAGUUAUGGUGGUGGUCCUUGAGUCAAUUGGAGCAGCGAGAUGAGACGAAUUUUGACCGAUGGCAGCCUCGCGGUGGCUGUUUGAACCAGAAUCGGUGAAGACGGCUACGUAUGAAUCAUAAUCACUGAAGGGCGGUAUGAUGAGAGAUGUGAAAAUGAUGAACUUUGUAGGGACCCUCCUAUUACAUCGGUAUUUGGCACUUCUGUAUACAUGUUAAUAAAUUUAUGACUUGAGG